CUGUUUCCUCGGAGAUGUUGCUUUCCAACAGCCAGCUUCCCAUCACCUCCGUGUUCUACUUCCAGAACGGCCACGCAUGCGUAGUAAGCGGUGUUCUGAGCAAUAGGCGUUCCCGGGGACCGGAAUCUAGGUCUGAGUGGCCUCCUCUAUGGCUCAGGGACUAGGAAGCAGGGACAACUCGGCAUUUGAGAGAGAUGCUCCUGCAGGGGAUUCAAGUUUAGUUCCAAACACCCAUAUUAGGCAACACACAGCACAAGACUACCUGUGAUUCCAGCUCUGGAGGGCCCACUGCCUGCCAGCUUCCUCAGGGACCCACACACAGAUGCCCACACCCACACUCAGGCAAAUCUUCACCAGACGAUGGCCGAGAGCCAUGCCACUGGAGCAUGCAGUUAUCAGGGAGACAAAGACUCCCGGAUCUUCAACUACAUGGCAACGUGAAGACGGAGCAAGAGAAAGAAAGGGCAGAGCCAAGAGGAGCAGAAAGGGAUGGAGAAGAUGGUAAGAUGUCAGAACAGGAGAGAGGUACAGAGGAGGGUGGAUGAGUUGCUGUGAACGUUAUUGCCUCUCUGGAUUCUCUGUUUCUGAAAGUCUGGUUUAAAUGUGAAGUGAUCUUAUUAAAGUAAAAUGUCAAGGAAAUCAGUAUCAUGGUGCCUUCGCAGAGUGCAGAGCUCCCUCCAUUGGCGGUGCCUGUGAGUCCCAUGGGCUGAACACUGACUGAGGUUUAUUUCCCUUCAAAUCAGGAAUACUCCUUUCUGAGGAGAAAAAAAAGAUAUAGUGGUUGGAAGGGGCAGACAAUGAUUGGUCAGGGCAGAUCUGUUUGCAUCCAUUUGUAUUCAUCUCUAUUAUCUGAACCCAUGCUGCGGAUGGCCAUAGGAACCAGAGACUCUUCUAAGGAGGACGCAAGGUACUUGUUACAGGACACCUCCACCCUCCAUGUCCCCUUUCUGUCCAGCUCCCAUCUCGGGUGUGGCUUGAUCAACAUCUAAUCUGCCCUGCCUCGCCAGCUUCAUCUUGUAGGCGAUCGGUGAUUCAUCUGAGAUUUCAAUGGCAAAACAACGAGUCAGACUGGAAUCAUCUGGCGCCUGGUACGAGACUGCACGGCUUCUUGCAUUGGAUCCUUAAACAAGGUGUAUCGCGCCAAGUCAUUUUCAAUAUCCCGUAAUAA
rnacentral:lncRNA from 1 species